GGGGUAGAAUAGGGACGCACGCUGAAGCAGCAACGCCGCGUGAAGGAUGAAGGGCUUUUGCUUGUAAACCUCUGUAGUGAGGGAAAAAAUUUCCACUCUGUGGAAUAUGAUGGUACCUCAAAAGUAAGCCCCGGCUAACUACGUUGCCAGCAGCCGCGGUAAUACGUAGGGGGCAAACGUUGUCCGGAUUUACUGGGUGUAAAGGUGCUCAGGCGGUUUUGUAAUUCAGAAGUGAAAUCCUAGGGCUUAACUCUGGAACUGCUUUUGAUACUGCAAGGCUUGAAUGUGGAAGAGGAGGAUGGAAUUUCUGGUGUAGCAGUGAAAUGCGUAGAUAUCAGAAAGAACACCAGUGGCGAAGGCGGUCCUCUGGUCCACUAUUGACGCUAAAGCACGAAAGCGUGGGGAGCAAACAGGAUUAUAUACCCUGGUAGUCCACGCCUUAAACGAUGAAUACUAGACGUUGGGGUUAAACUCAGUGUCGCAGCUAACGCAUUAAGUAUUCCACCUGGGGAGUACGAUCGCAAGGUUGAAACUCAA
rnacentral:rRNA from 1 species